rnacentral:rRNA from 1 species
AUUGAACGCUAGCGGGAUGCUUUACACAUGCAAGUCGAACGGCAGCGCGGACUUCGGUCUGGCGGCGAGUGGCGAACGGGUGAGUAAUGUAUCGGAACGUGCCCAGUAGCGUGGGAUAACUACGCGAAAGCGUAGCUAAUACCGCAUACGCCCUACGGGGGAAAGCAGGGGAUCGUAAGACCUUGCACUAUUGGAGCGGCCGAUAUCGGAUUAGCUAGUUGGUGAGGUAACGGCUCACCAAGGCGACGAUCCGUAGCUGGUUUGAGAGGACGACCAGCCACACUGGGACUGAGACACGGCCCAGACUCCUACGGGAGGCAGCAGUGGGGAAUUUUGGACAAUGGGGGCAACCCUGAUCCAGCCAUCCCGCGUGUGCGAUGAAGGCCUUCGGGUUGUAAAGCACUUUUGGCAGGAAAGAAACGUCGCGGGCUAAUACCCCGUGGAACUGACGGUACCUGCAGAAUAAGCACCGGCUAACUACGU